UACAGAGGAUGCAAGCGUUAUCCGGAAUGAUUGGGCGUAAAGCGUCUGUAGGUGGCUUUUUAAGUCCGCCGUCAAAUCCCAGGGCUCAACUCUGGACAGGCGGUGGAAACUACCAAGCUGGAGUACGGUAGGGGCAGAGGGAAUUUCCGGUGGAGCGGUGAAAUGCGUAGAGAUCGGCAGGAACACCCAGGGGGAAACCAGCCGGCUGGGGACGGGCUGACGCUCAGGGGCGAAAGCGUGGGGAGCGAACCGG
rnacentral:rRNA from 1 species